rnacentral:rRNA from 1 species
AUUGAACGCUGGCGGAAUGCUUUACACAUGCAAGUCGAACGGCAGCACGGGGGCAACCCUGGUGGCGAGUGGCGAACGGGUGAGUAAUACAUCGGAACGUGCCCAGUCGUGGGGGAUAACGUAGCGAAAGUUACGCUAAUACCGCAUACGAUCUACGGAUGAAAGCGGGGGACCGUAAGGCCUCGCGCGAUGGGAGCGGCCGAUGGCAGGUUAGGUAGUUGGUGAGGUAAAGGCGCACCAAGCCGACGAUCUGUAGCUGGUCUGAGAGGACGACCAGCCACACUGGGACUGAGACACGGCCCAGACUCCUACGGGAGGCAGCAGUGGGGAAUUUUGGACAAUGGGCGCAAGCCUGAUCCAGCCAUUCCGCGUGCAGGACGAAGGCCUUCGGGUUGUAAACUGCUUUUGUACGGAACGAAAAGGCUCUGGUUAAUACCUGGGGCUCAUGACGGUACCGUAAGAAUAAGCACCGGCUAACUACGUGCCAGCCGCCGCCGUAA